AUGUAUUUUUUGUUACAUAAUUAUUUUUUAAAAGCAAGCGGGGAAAGCACUCCGUGUUUCCGACCUCCGCAGUUGGUACCCGAAGCCCUCCCUGUCUCUUGCGUGACCCCUCCCUCUCCACCCUUAUCUUCAUUAUCCUGUUUGCGUCAUUUUGGUUCCAAAUCCUGUUCCUCUAGAUCCCCGACCCAACCACCCUCAGGCACACAGACGCUUCGAGAAGGACGGAGGCACAGCCAGCCGCGUUCUGGGGAGCACAGAGGCGGGAUAUUCGGGACUAAGAAGGGAUCCAACCAGCAGCCCCUGCAUUGGGAGGAUGGAGUCUUAACCACUGGACCACCUGGGAAGUCCCAGGAAUCACGAUUUCUUAGCCGCCACGCAGUGUGUAUCUGCCAGUCCCACAUGCGUCCUGUUAACUGGAGUCAGCUGCCUGAAGGCCAAUCGCCUCCACACCGGCAGACGAGACUGAGUUCCUGGACCCAAGAAGGCCUCCGCAGCGCCGUCCUUCCAGGGCUGUGCCGAGAUGCGGGGCGAUCACAGGUGAGGACUCUGUCACGAGGCUCAGCUCCAAGGAGGCCCAAAUAA
rnacentral:lncRNA from 1 species